AGAGUUUGAUCAUGGCUCAGAUUGAACGCUGGCGGCAGGCCUAACACAUGCAAGUCGAGCGGAAACGAGUUAUCUGAACCUUCGGGGAACGAUAACGGCGUCGAGCGGCGGACGGGUGAGUAAUGCCUAGGAAAUUGCCCUGAUGUGGGGGAUAACCAUUGGAAACGAUGGCUAAUACCGCAUGAUGCCUACGGGCCAAAGAGGGGGACCUUCGGGCCUCUCGCGUCAGGAUAUGCCUAGGUGGGAUUAGCUAGUUGGUGAGGUAAUGGCUCACCAAGGCGACGAUCCCUAGCUGGUCUGAGAGGAUGAUCAGCCACACUGGAACUGAGACACGGUCCAGACUCCUACGGGAGGCAGCAGUGGGGAAUAUUGCACAAUGGGCGCAAGCCUGAUGCAGCCAUGCCGCGUGUGUGAAGAAGGCCUUCGGGUUGUAAAGCACUUUCAGUCGUGAGGAAGGUAGUGCAGUUAAUAGCUGCAUUAUUUGACGUUAGCGACAGAAGAAGCACCGGCUAACUCCGUGCCAGCAGCCGCGGUAAUACGGAGGGUGCGAGCGUUAAUCGGAAUUACUGGGCGUAAAGCGCAUGCAGGUGGUUUGUUAAGUCAGAUGUGAAAGCCCGGGGCUCAACCUCGGAAUAGCAUUUGAAACUGGCAGACUAGAGUACUGUAGAGGGGGGUAGAAUUUCAGGUGUAGCGGUGAAAUGCGUAGAGAUCUGAAGGAAUACCGGUGGCGAAGGCGGCCCCCUGGACAGAUACUGACACUCAGAUGCGAAAGCGUGGGGAGCAAACAGGAUUAGAUACCCUGGUAGUCCACGCCGUAAACGAUGUCUACUUGGAGGUUGUGGCCUUGAGCCGUGGCUUUCGGAGCUAACGCGUUAAGUAGACCGCCUGGGGAGUACGGUCGCAAGAUUAAAACUCAAAUGAAUUGACGGGGGCCCGCACAAGCGGUGGAGCAUGUGGUUUAAUUCGAUGCAACGCGAAGAACCUUACCUACUCUUGACAUCCAGAGAACUUUCCAGAGAUGGAUUGGUGCCUUCGGGAACUCUGAGACAGGUGCUGCAUGGCUGUCGUCAGCUCGUGUUGUGAAAUGUUGGGUUAAGUCCCGCAACGAGCGCAACCCUUAUCCUUGUUUGCCAGCGAGUAAUGUCGGGAACUCCAGGGAGACUGCCGGUGAUAAACCGGAGGAAGGUGGGGACGACGUCAAGUCAUCAUGGCCCUUACGAGUAGGGCUACACACGUGCUACAAUGGCGCAUACAGAGGGCAGCAAGCUAGCGAUAGUGAGCGAAUCCCAAAAAGUGCGUCGUAGUCCGGAUUGGAGUCUGCAACUCGACUCCAUGAAGUCGGAAUCGCUAGUAAUCGUGGAUCAGAAUGCCACGGUGAAUACGUUCCCGGGCCUUGUACACACCGCCCGUCACACCAUGGGAGUGGGCUGCAAAAGAAGUAGGUAGUUUAACCUUCGGGAGGACGCUUACCACUUUGUGGUUCAUGACUGGGGUGAAGUCGUAACAAGGUAGCGCUAGGGGAACCUGGCGCUG
rnacentral:rRNA from 1 species